rnacentral:rRNA from 1 species
AACGAACGCUGGCGGCAGGCCUAACACAUGCAAGUCGAACGCCCUAGCAAUAGGGAGUGGCAGACGGGUGAGUAACGCGUGGGAACGUGCCCUUCGGUUCGGAAUAACUCAGGGAAACUUGAGCUAAUAUCGGAUACAUGCGAGAGCAGAAAGAUUUAUCGCCGAAGGAUCGGCCCGCGUCCGAUUAGCUAGUUGGUGAGGUAAUGGCUCACCAAGGCGACGAUCGGUAGCUGGUCUGAGAGGAUGAUCAGCCACACUGGGACUGAGACACGGCCCAGACUCCUACGGGAGGCAGCAGUGGGGAAUAUUGGACAAUGGGGGAAACCCUGAUCCAGCGAUGCCGCGUGAGUGAAGAAGGCCUUCGGGUUGUAAAGCUCUUUCAAGAGGGAAGAUAAUGACGGUACCUCUAUAAGAAGCACCGGCUAACUUCGUGCCAGCCGCCGCCGUAA